rnacentral:rRNA from 1 species
UACGUAGGGUGCGAGCGUUAAUCGGAAUUACUGGGCGUAAAGGGUGCGUAGGCGGUUCGGAAAGAAGGAUGUGAAAUUCCAGGGCUCAACCUUGGGACGGCAUUUUUAACUACCGAGCUAGAGUGUGUCAGAGGGGGGUGGAAUUCCGCGUGUAGCAGUGAAAUGCGUAGAGAUGCGGAGGAACACCGAUGGCGAAGGCAGCCUCCUGGGAUGACACUGACGCUGAGGCACGAAAGCGUGGGGAGCAAACAGG